ACAGCUCCGAGAGCAGCAGUAAGAAGCACUCUUUCUCUGCAAAGCAAGGGGCUUAUGGGCAAAAUACAGCCAUUCUCAGACAGCUCAAUGAAACACACACAACCUGAACAAAAACAGCAGCACCAUGACUUUUCCUUGUCACAGCUCAAAGGAGGAAGCAACUGCAUCUGCUACCCAGACUGCACGCUGCUAUUUCCAGUGUGGGACAGGGACUUGAUUUUGUCCAGGACAACAGCAAUAACUUUUUUUCUUAGAGACUGGCCCUAGUGCUGCAGAAUUUAGGCUUUUUAGUCCUUGAGUGAUGAAGACUUGAUGAAGUGCUGGGUCUGCAGACAAGCUGGAAAAAUAACUUCUGCAGCCAAAUACAAGCUUCUUCAGCCUCAGCAGGCGCUCUCUUUAGUGGAGGAGAACCACCUUGUUCUCCUUUAUAGCUCAUAUUAAGCCAGACAGGACUGCUCUGCACAGAAGACAGAUUUCAGAGCAUAGUGAAAAAAAAACACCACCAUAAGAGAGAAGUGUCUCUGCUGCCUAUGGUCCUGUGCAAAGACAGAAGGAAUCCCAGCUGAAGCAAAAUUCACCGGGACAAAAAUAGAAAAGGGAUACCUGAGGGAAAAUGCAGGAGGGGGGCAAUGUGGAUGUAAUUUAAUUACAGCUGUAUU
rnacentral:lncRNA from 7 species